UACAGAGGUCCCAAGCGUUGUUCGGAUUCACUGGGCGUAAAGGGUGCGUAGGUGGCGGGGUAAGUCUGAUGUGAAAUCUCCGAGCUUAACUCGGAAACUGCAUCGGAUACUGCCUUGCUCGAGGGUUGGAGGGGGGACUGGAAUACUUGGUGUAGCAGUGAAAUGCGUAGAUAUCAAGUGGAACACCAGUGGCGAAGGCGAGUCCCUGAACAACUCCUGACACUGAGGCACGAAAGCUAGGGGAGCAAACAGG
rnacentral:rRNA from 1 species